UACGGAGGGGCUAGCGUUGUUCGGAAUUACUGGGCGUAAAGCGCACGUAGGCGGCUUUGUAAGUUAGAGGUGAAAGCCCAGGGCUUAACCCUGGAAUUGCCUUUAAGACUGCAUCGCUAGAAUCGUGGAGAGGUGAGUGGAAUUCCGAGUGUAGAGGUGAAAUUCGUAGAUAUUCGGAAGAACACCAGUGGCGAAGGCGACCUCA
rnacentral:rRNA from 1 species